rnacentral:lncRNA from 1 species
UUUUACUUCCUUUCAUUGAUCGGAUAAGAGAACUAGCCCCUAGGAACGAGGGGGCUAACAAACAGCUAAGAGCGCUACUUCGAUUUGGAGAGGGGAAAGCAAAUGAAAGUAAGGGAGGUUGAUAUUCCAUCAAUUCUAGAUAGAGGCAGGCUACUUGGUAAACCCUCUAUUCGGGUUGUGUUCACCCAAUCAAUAGCAAUUUACCUAAGAGGGUUGGCAUUUGAUUCAAAUAAAGAGAGAUGGGGGCACCUUCAACUAGAAAAUAGGAGGUAUUAGCUAGUUCGGCCGAAUAACUGUAACCACCUGAAUAAGAAUAGUAAUUCGAUAAAGCGGUUUAACCCGAUAGUCUUCUGUAUAUGGAUUGGAUGGCCCUGCCGGGUAGGGC